rnacentral:tRNA from 1 species
GGAGAGGUGCAGGAGUGGUUGAACUGGCCGCUCUCGAAAAGCGGUGAACCGUAAGGUUCCGAGGGUUCGAAUCCCUCCCUCUCCGCCA